rnacentral:rRNA from 1 species
AUUGAACGCUGGCGGCAGGCUUAACACAUGCAAGUCGAGCGAGCGGCGGACGGGUGAGUCAUGUCUGGGAAACUGCCUGAUGGAGGGGGAUAACUACUGGAAACGGUAGCUAAUACCGCAUACCAUCAGAUGUGCCCAGAUGGGAUUAGCUAGUAGGUGGGGUAAUGGCUCACCUAGGCGACGAUCCCUAGCUGGUCUGAGAGGGUGAUCGGCCCCACUGGAACUGAGACACGGUCCAGCCUCCUACGGGAGGCAGCAGUGGGGAAUAUUGCACAAUGGGCGCAAGCCGGAUGCAGCCAUGCCGCGUGUGUGAAGAAGGCCUUCGGGUUGUAAAGCACUUUCAGCGAGGAGGCGUUACUCGAAGAAGAAGCACCGGCUAACUCCGUGCCAGCAGCCGCGGUAAUUC